rnacentral:rRNA from 1 species
UACGAAGGGGGCUAGCGUUGCUCGGAAUCACUGGGCGUAAAGGGCGCGUAGGCGGCCAUUCAAGUCGGAGGUGAAAGCCCAGGGCUCAACCCUGGAAUUGCCUUCGAUACUGUUUGGCUAGAGACCGGAAGAGGUAAGUGGAACUGCGAGUGUAGAGGUGAAAUUCGUAGAUAUUCGCAAGAACACCAGUGGCGAAGGCGGCUUACUGGGCCGGUUCUGACGCUGAGGCGCGAAAGCGUGGGGAGCAAACAGG